rnacentral:rRNA from 1 species
UACGAAGGGUGCAAGCGUUACUCAGAAUUACUGGGCGUAAAGCGUGCGUAGGUGGUUUGUUAAGUCUGAUGUGAAAGCCCUGGGCUCAACCUGGGAAUUGCAUUGGAUACUGGCAGGCUAGAGUGCGGUAGAGGAUGGCGGAAUUCCCGGUGUAGCAGUGAAAUGCGUAGAGAUCGGGAGGAACACCGGUGGCGAAGGCGGCGACCUGGGUAGAUACUGACGCUGAGGUGCGAAAGCGUGGGGAGCAAACAGG